rnacentral:lncRNA from 1 species
GAUGAGUUGAACCUCUGUACUCCUGAGAAUGAAUGUACUCCCAGGGCAGGUGAAUGAGAACGGCUUAAAGCAGCCAUGUUGGAGAUGGACGGUGAGCGGGACUGCAUGCUGGGUGAUGACACUGAUCUACUCUGGCUGUGAAUAGACGAGUAGUUUUGGAAGGGUGAGGCCAUAGGUGAGUCUCCUUUUGAAAGGCUCCUGAGUUGAGCAGUCAAAGAGCUGCUAGCAGCCACAUUCUGCGGCGUGCCCAGCUGCUCCGAGAACUUCAGCACCAUGUUCUGCUCCUCUGGCUUUA